ensembl:lincRNA
UAUAGAAACAGAUUUUUUAAUAUAAAACAUCUUAUACAUUUGAUGGGGUAAUUCUCUUAGCUUAGGUAUUAUUGAAUAGUUUAAUGAUAUCUUCUUAUUCCCAUGCAUCAAAAUACCUCUUACAAUUUUGAGAAGCCAGUCCCUGUGCUUUGGGAAUUUCUAGCAGUCAGAAAUUUAAUGAUCAAUCGAAAUUUGGACCUUAAUGAAUCAUUAUCUAUUAUGUUUUUUUCUCACAGUGAUUCAGGAUGCUGUUUCCAGAUGACAAUCAUCCAAAAAAAAGAACUACUGCUGUAAGGAAAAAAGGAGAGCUACAUGAGGACCACACAACUCCUGGAAGAGGUUUCCCUGGCAACACAACUUUUCCAUUCAUCUGGUUGCAGUGUUUUCAUCCAGUAGCCUGUCACCUCACUCAAAAGCAGGGCAGAUUUAUAAAGGAAGCUGCUGGAGGGAAUUCAUUCCCUUUUCGCUGUUCGGCCUUCCACCUUUCACUGUGUGAGGACACUGCAAGAAAGUCCUCAUCAGACACCAAUUGCCAGCACCUAGAUCUUGGAAUUCUCAGCCUCCAGAACUGUGAGAAAUACAUUUUUAUUUUUCUAUAAAAUAAUAAUAAUAAUAAUAAACUUCCAUGCAGGAAAAAAAAAUCAAGUUCAAAUGUCCUGUGGUGAGGGCAUGCCAGCUUUGUUUGAGAAGCAGUAAUCAUGCCUGUGUGACUGUAAUGAAAGAAUAAAAGAUAAAUUAGCAUGGAAUAAUGUAAUGUAGUCCUUUUCACUUUAAGCAAGAAACUUGGCUUCAAUUCUAAAUCUGGUAAGAAAAAAAUAGAAGGUUCCAAACUAAGAAGUGACAUGAUAUGAAAUGUUUUAACAGAAUCACCUUUGUUACCAUAUUGCAAAUAAAAUGAAAGUGCAUCAAGGGCAGAAGUAGGAAGGCAAGUUAUGAGAUUGUUUUGAUAAUCCAGAGGAGUUGGGAUGGUGACUUAAAGCAGUAUGGUAGCGAUCGGUUGGGUAAGAACAUGGAAUCCUGGGUAUUUAUUAAAGGUUCAGCAAAAAGGAUUUACAGAUGAAACAGAUAUGGGUCAUGAGAAAGAGUCAAGGUAAAGAUUAUAUCAAAAUUUUUUAUCUGAACAACUCGUGGUGUUGUGGUAAAUCCUUACCCCAACAAUUUACAUGACCAAUAACUGAGUGGGAACAUUAAGGAGGGGAUGGUUUGAGGAAGAAUCAGGAUCUCAGGUUGGAAAUGUUAAGAUGAAUAUGCCUAUUUAACAAUCAAAUGAAAAAUAGUAUUUUUGUAAUUUUCAGUAUUUAUUUGGCAAGAGAUUAAAUAAUCUAUAGCAUUGUUACUACUUUCUCUUUUUCAUAAAAGUUAUUUUGGAAUAAAAUCAACCUGACUGGAAACUAUUCAAAUAUAUAAGCCUUUAGCUCUGACCUAUUACUUAUUUUUUUUGCCAUUAAUAAUAUGAAUAUCCACCAAACAAGAACUUGAGACUAUAACUCUUUUCUCCACUAAAUCUUCAUAUUAAAUUAGUCAUUUAAAUAUGAUUAUUCUUUUCAUUUAUUGCUAAAUACUUUCCAUUACAUUCAAACUUAUUGAGACAUCCUUAAAUUUUAUAAUUUAUUUAAUGUAUUAAUUCCUUAGCUUCUAAACUGGUUCUCUCUACUGCAACUCUAUUUUCUUCUUAAUAACUCAUCAUCUACAUUCCCCAAUGUCUUAUUUUUCCAAAACAAAAGUGCACUCAUGUCCUUCUAAGGCAUACAUUUCUUUAAUGGCUUUCUAUUGUUAUAGAUAAAGUUCAAACUUAUUAUGACAGCCUAUAAUUUGGGGGAAAAAACUCACCUAAAAACAGUUUUUAAAAGAUUAAAAUUCAAAUGCUUGAAAUUUCAGUUAUUUUAUGAACUUUCUAUUCAAACAUGUCAAGGAGCUAAGACAUUACAUACUACACUACUACUAGUACUACUACAAAUCAUAAUAAUAACAACAACAAUUAUAGUUACUCAUCUUAGUUUCGGCAGAGGAUACCAUUUCUACAAAGAAUGUAAUUAGAUUGUAGAUAUUAAAAUAGUUACUAGACAGAAACUAGGAUGAUGGUAACAUUGACUUUUGAUCUGAGUCCUGGCUAUAUGUUUUCUGUUUGAAAAAAGUCAUUAAGAAUAAUAUUAUAAUUUUUAUAAUUUUAGAAUGCAUAUUAUAACAACACAUUUUUUAAACUGAGAAUUUAAGAUUUAAAAAGUAUAGUAGGGGAAGAGAAGGAAAAUAUUUUUUUUCUGUGCUUGUUUUAAUAAAUAAUGCCACUGAGGAUGUAAGUUUUCAAUGUCUAAUUAUUAAAUCAGCAUUACUUUCAUUAUUUUAACAACUUUCAUGGGGUUCUUAUAUUGAGACUCAAAUUAAAUAUGUAAUAUUAAUCCUAAUAUAGUUAUUUAUUUCCUAACAAGAGCAUAAACCUUCCAAAAAUUUUAUUCUGCAUAUUUAUAACUGAAUUUAUGAUUCUGACAUAUUUUUUUUCAAAUCAUGUCCAUCAAUAUAUGAACAGGCAUUGAAUUUAUCCAUAUUUACUUAUGUCUUUCUUCAGCCCCUCUGUCAACCCACUUAUCUUUUUGAUAGCUCAGUGAGCUGGCACUAGUUUCGUACCUCAGGAUGUUUACUCUGGCUAAUUUAGUCACUGAUCUUCUAAUGUCUGGUGCUUGGCAAUAAAGUCCCAGUUGGAGUUUUCAACCAACAGCAGUUUGCAUUCAGUUACUUAAUCUCUGUUUUGCAAUCUUAGUACCUUCCUUUCUGAUUGAAUGAAGACAAUUGCUCCUAGGGAUACCUGAACCUGAAAUGAACUGAAAAUAUUUUAUAGCUUUUCAACUUGCCAGGCAGUAGAAGAAAAAUUCAUACCAAUCCCAUUGCUACAAACAGCUGUUACUAUAAGGUGAUAUUGCUAUGGAAUCUUAAAAUAGAACAAGGCGAAUACCAUCCCUGUGAGGGUUCUACUAUAUUUUGUGGAUCUCCAGCUGGAAACUUAAUUGUAAUUUAAACUGAUCAUACAGAAACAGCUUUCCUGCUUCUAUUCAGCAUACUUUCACGGAAUUGGAUAAUUUAAUAAGUUAUAACACUCUCUAGUAUGAAGCUGCGUACAAUUCUAGGAGGAGAGACAAUGUGAUCUUUGAUUCCCUAUUAUCUUUAUCUUCCUGCAUUAUAUUCUUCCAGGACUUUAGCUAAUACCUCUCCCCAUCACAAUAAAGUCUUUAAACACUUAGAAUCAAUUUUCUGUUUCUUGUGUCCAUAUCCUAUAGCCAAAGAUCACCAGGAACACUCCUGAGUUUAUUCUUGUUUGCAGCAAUAAAUACCUCACACAAUGGGGAAAUCUGAGGUUAUCUCAGUUAGAGGGUAUUAAAAGAACCUGUUGUAUCAUUUGGGAUUUGGUUAUUUGAGGAAGAAAUUAAGGAAGCAAGACUGCCCUGGAUUGCCUGUUACCAGGAAAUGGGAGCAAUUUUAUGAUUGGGUAUGUCACCAAAUCUUACCUAUAUGGAUGAUAUACUAGAGUGAGGCUAAUGUAAUUGAGGAUAAAGUAACUGCUAAAGAAACAACAGUCACUUGUAUCUGGUAUGUUGUGACCUGGACAAUGUUCCUGUUUUGUUUAUGCUUAGAUAAAAUUAAGGAUUGUUCUUGUUUUUGUCAUUGUCCAUCUUGGUCACUGAAUGGUCUUAUUUUAGUUUAGGGUUCUGUGAAAUAGUUUAUGUUCAACAGGAGACUUAAGGACUUAGCUGAGAGUUUCAGUCCAGAUCAUGAAUGUGAGGGCCUCCAUUUUUACUUUCUCACUUAUAUCUAUUAAUAAAUAUUAAUAAAAUGUUGCACAGUAAAGUAUAAAAUGGAAAAAGGAAAUAGUAUGAAAUUAAGGUAAUUCCUCAUCAGGAUAUUGCUUGAUUUAUUAUUUAUUAUGCAAAGACCUGCAAAACAACAGUAUCAGUCUUUAAUAGUAGAAUCUUUUUUUCACAUCAAAUUCUGGGGAGGAUAGUAUUAAUCAAGGCAAUAGGCAAUGCCAGGUAGAGGUUUUAAUAUACCUCUAAAAACUUGGCAAAUACAAGGUCAGUCUUUUUUGCCCUCUUUCUAUUUGCAAUUGUAAUUUUCUAUGUGCUUUGUUUCUAAGUUAGAGCAUUUCUAAAUUAAAGAAACCAAAGACACGUUUAAAAUAUUCUAAGAUCAAAAUAUAAUUUUCGAUGCCAUUACUAUGCUAUAUUAAAAUUAUCUUUAUUUUAUGCUGAAUAUAUAAUACUUCUCUACAAGAAGCCUCUUUAUCUUGCUUGAUUGGGACAAUUAUUCAAUUAGUCAAUUGAAAAAUUAGGUUAAAUUGGGAAACCAUAAAGCAGCAAAAAAUGUAGCCAUAUAUUAAAAGUUUUUUUUUUUUUUAAAUUUAAAACAUAUACAGACACUGUAUGAUGUAAAGAUAACGUCUUUACUUUGAGACUUUUUUGGCUGAUUUGUAUUCCACCUUUUUUACAUAAAACUCAUCUUCAGUCUUUAAUUACAAUAUCUAACCUUGUUCCCAUUAGGUGAAGUGAGAAGUCCAGAAGGUGUAGAGUAGAAGAGAGAGAUGGCUACUAGCCAUGGUAGUUCAGCCAGUACAUUUUCAAAAUGAAAUGGAAAACUUUAGAUUGCUUAAGUAAAUACAUAUUAAUUGAGCUUCUAUAUAUUCAGUAUAUGAGAC